rnacentral:rRNA from 1 species
UGGGGAAUAUUGCACAAUGGGGGAAACCCUGAUGCAGCCAUGCCGCGUGUAUGAAGAAGGCCUUAGGGUUGUAAAGUACUUUCGGUGAUGAGGAAGGUACUUGGUCUAAUAGGCCAAGUAAUUGACGUUAAUUACAGAAGAAGCACCGGCUAACUCCGUGCCAGCAGCCGCGGUAAUACGGAGGGUGCGAGCGUUAAUCGGAAUGACUGGGCGUAAAGGGCAUGUAGGCGGAUGAUUAAGUUAGGUGUGAAAUCCCCGAGCUCAACUUGGGAAUUGCAUUUAAAACU